rnacentral:lncRNA from 1 species
CUGGUGUCGGUUCUUCUACCUGUCAAACUUCAUUAAACUCGACUUUAUAGGCACUUAUUCCUUCAUUAAGGAACUUAUUUUUCGAAAAAUAUGUCUUACUGCUGACAAAUAUCUUUUGUUCAGUAGGGAGGUAAAAGUAAUAUCUUCUCAUUUUUUUGAGGUACCCCACAAACCUAGGUCCGAGCUUGUUGGUUUGUAAUUAUUUGACAUAAGUCGGACACCCCC